rnacentral:lncRNA from 1 species
CACCAUAUAAGAAGUGCCUUUCACCUUCCACCAUGAUUCUGAGGCCUCCCCAUCCAUGUGGAACUAAAUGGAAUCUUUCUCUGUUGCCCAGGCCAGAGUGCAUUGGCACCAUCACAGCAAAGUGCAGCCUCAACCUCCUGGGCUUGGCUAAAGCAAUCCUCCCACUUCAACCUCCUGAGUAGCUGGGACUGCAGGAAUGGGGACAAAGCUAUUGAAAACUUCUCCUUCUCAGGCUCACUUCGCCAACAUCUGUGGCUGAAUGUAGACAUUCCCCCUUUUAGGCAAAUUUCUUUAAAUUCAUAGCAAGGUAUGACCAAGAACAUUAAAACAAUGCUUCAUUGCUUAUGCCUGACGUUGAAGAGCAAAAUUUACAUCUGCUACACAGUUCAAGGUUUCCAUGGCCUUAGUAGAGGUCAUGAAAUGUACAGUUUUAAAACUUAUUGGAGUAUCUUUAUGAACGAUUUUAAUGGACUAGAGUGACAAUAUUUUUAUACAACAUUGACCUCCCCUGCCCCAAAUGAUGUGAAAGACUGUGGCUGUAUUAGAAUUUAGUCUAGUAAGACCAAUACCAUUUCAGGGAGUUUUUUGUAGUUUUCCUCCAUAAAUAUAUUUUCCACAUCAACUGCUCUGAGCUGAGUUGCUGGAACAUUUUCAAUUCUUUAUAAGUACAUAUUUUGGCUGAGUUCAGAAACCUUGGACUAGGCACUGUCCUUUGAGUGAGACGUCAGGAUUGAGGUAGCAUAGGCACAAGACCAAAUUUUAGUUCAUGAUGGAGUAUUGCCAGCUUGUGAGCCUCUGGUGCUUUCAAGGAAGCACAGGUGAUGGAAAUCAAAUAAAAACAGAGCCAGGAAAACAUCUGGUGUGGAAAGUAGCUCAUUGCAUAAAAUGCUAAAAACAAAAAGUUGAGAAAAUUAAGCCUCUUCUACUUUUUAAAAGAAAAAUUUGACUCUACCAAUUAUAACCACAAGGAAUGUUCUCCAGACUUGAAUAUUUUAAGUGAAAGAUUAAUAUCCAGCCAUUUAUAAACCUCCAAAUCCUUUCCCCAACUUUAUUCAUACCAUUUUUUAUUAUAAAUUUUCAAAAAAUUUACUGAUCUAGUUUGGAAAAAUCAUGUCCUUGAACUGUUGAACCAUAUUUGUAAUCUGUUUCAAUAAAAAUAUAGAUAUAAUACUUAGAAAAACAGA